rnacentral:rRNA from 1 species
UACGAAGGGGCUAGCGUUGCUCGGAAUCACUGGGCGUAAAGCGCACGUAGGCGGAUUGUUAAGUCAGGGUGAAAUCCUGGAGCUCAACUCCAGAACUGCCUUUGAUACUGACGGUCUCGAGUCCGGGAGAGGUGAGUGGAACUGCGAGUGUAGAGGUGAAAUUCGUAGAUAUUCGCAAGAACACCAGUGGCGAAGGCGGCUCACUGGCCCGAUACUGACGCUGAGGCA